UCCUUAGCGUGGUGCCUGAGA
rnacentral:miRNA from 1 species